UACGAAGGGGGCUAGCGUUGCUCGGAAUUACUGGGCGUAAAGCGUGCGCAGGCGGUUCUAUAAGACAGAUGUGAAAUCCCCGGGCUCAACCUGGGAACUGCAUUUGUGACUGUAGAGCUGGAGUACGGCAGAGGGGGAUGGAAUUCCGCGUGUAGCAGUGAAAUGCGUAGAUAUGCGGAGGAACACCGAUGGCGAAGGCAAUCCCCUGGGCCUGUACUGACGCUCAUGCACGAAAGCGUGGGGAGCAAACAGG
rnacentral:rRNA from 1 species